GACGAACGCUGGCGGCGUGCCUAAUACAUGCAAGUCGAGCGAGCGGAACUAACAGAUUUACUUCGGUAAUGACGUUAGGAAAGCGAGCGGCGGAUGGGUGAGUAACACGUGGGGAACCUGCCCCAUAGUCUGGGAUACCACUUGGAAACAGGUGCUAAUACCGGAUAAGAAAGCAGAUCGCAUGAUCAGCUUUUAAAAGGCGGCGUAAGCUGUCGCUAUGGGAUGGCCCCGCGGUGCAUUAGCUAGUUGGUAAGGUAAAGGCUUACCAAGGCGAUGAUGCAUAGCCGAGUUGAGAGACUGAUCGGCCACAUUGGGACUGAGACACGGCCCAAACUCCUACGGGAGGCAGCAGUAGGGAAUCUUCCACAAUGGACGCAAGUCUGAUGGAGCAACGCCGCGUGAGUGAAGAAGGUUUUCGGAUCGUAAAGCUCUGUUGUUGGUGAAGAAGGAUAGAGGUAGUAACUGGCUUUUAUUUGACGGUAAUCAACCAGAAAGUCACGGCUAACUACGUGCCAGCAGCCGCGGUAAUACGUAGGUGGCAAGCGUUGUCCGGAUUUAUUGGGCGUAAAGCGAGCGCAGGCGGAAGAAUAAGUCUGAUGUGAAAGCCCUCGGCUUAACCGAGGAACUGCAUCGGAAACUGUUUUUCUUGAGUGCAGAAGAGGAGAGUGGAACUCCAUGUGUAGCGGUGGAAUGCGUGGAUAUAUGGAAGAACACCAGUGGCGAAGGCGGCUCUCUGGUCUGCAACUGACGCUGAGGCUCGAAAGCAUGGGUAGCGAACAGGAUUAGAUACCCUGGUAGUCCAUGCCGUAAACGAUGAGUGCUAAGUGUUGGGAGGUUUCCGCCUCUCAGUGCUGCAGCUAACGCAUUAAGCACUCCGCCUGGGGAGUACGACCGCAAGGUUGAAACUCAAAGGAAUUGACGGGGGCCCGCACAAGCGGUGGAGCAUGUGGUUUAAUUCGAAGCAACGCGAAGAACCUUACCAGGUCUUGACAUCUAGUGCCAUUUGUAGAGAUACAAAGUUCCCUUCGGGGACGCUAAGACAGGUGGUGCAUGGCUGUCGUCAGCUCGUGUCGUGAGAUGUUGGGUUAAGUCCCGCAACGAGCGCAACCCUUGUUAUUAGUUGCCAGCAUUAAGUUGGGCACUCUAAUGAGACUGCCGGUGACAAACCGGAGGAAGGUGGGGAUGACGUCAAGUCAUCAUGCCCCUUAUGACCUGGGCUACACACGUGCUACAAUGGGCAGUACAACGAGAAGCGAGCCUGCGAAGGCAAGCGAAUCUCUGAAAGCAGUUUUCAGUUCGGACUGCAGUCUGCAACUCGACUGCACGAAGCUGGAAUCGCUAGUAAUCGCGGAUCAGCACGCCGCGGUGAAUACGUUCCCGGGCCU
rnacentral:rRNA from 1 species